rnacentral:rRNA from 1 species
GGGCCAUGCGGCUGCCUAUACAUGCAAGUCGAGCGAACAGAGAAGGAGCUUGCUCCUUUGACGUUAGCGGCGGACGGGUGAGUAACACGUGGGCAACCUACCCUAUAGUUUGGGAUAACUCCGGGAAACCGGGGCUAAUACCGAAUAAUCUAUUGUCCCUCAUGGGACAAUACUGAAAGACGGUUUCGGCUGUCGCUAUAGGAUGGGCCCGCGGCGCAUUAGCUAGUUGGUGAGGUAACGGCUCACCAAGGCGACGAUGCGUAGCCGACCUGAGAGGGUGAUCGGCCACACUGGGACUGAGACACGGCCCAGACUCCUACGGGAGGCAGCAGUAGGGAAUCUUCCACAAUGGGCGAAAGCCUGAUGGAGCAACGCCGCGUGAGUGAAGAAGGAUUUCGGUUCGUAAAACUCUGUUGUAAGGGAAGAACAAGUACAGUAGUAACUGGCUGUACCUUGACGGUACCUUAUUAGAAAGCCACGGCUAACUACGUGCCAGCAGCCGCGGUAAUACGUAGGUGGCAAGCGUUGUCCGGAAUUAUUGGGCGUAAAGCGCGCGCAGGUGGUUUCUUAAGUCUGAUGUGAAAGCCCACGGCUCAACCGUGGAGGGUCAUUGAAAACUGGGAGACUUGAGUGCAGAAGAGGAUAGUGGAAUUCCAAGUGUAGCGGUGAAAUGCGUAGAGAUGUGGAGGAACACCAGUGGCGAACGCGACUAUCUGGUCUGUAACUGACACUGAUGCGCGAAAGCGUGGGGAGCAUACAGUAUUAGAUCCCCUGCUAGUCCACGCCGUACACGAUGAGUGCUAAGUGUUAGUGGGGUUUCCGCCCCUUAGUGCUGCAGCUAACGCAUUAAGCGCUCCGCCUGGGGUAGUACGGUCGCAGACUGAAACUCAAACGAAUUGACGGGGGCCCGCACAGCGGUGGAGCAUGAUGGUUUUAUUCUAAGCAUCGCGAGAAGCUUACCAGGUCUUGACGUCCUCUUGAUCCAUUGGUAGAGAUAUGGUUUUCACUCCGGGACAACGGGUGAACAGUCGUGCUAUGAUGUCAGUCAGCUCGUGGUCAGGACAAUGUUGGGAUUAAGUUCCUGUAACGAGCGCAGACCAUUGGAGUCUUGACUGU